AUUGAACGCUGGCGGCAGGCUUAACACAUGCAAGUCGAACGAGUGGCGGACGGGUGAGUAAUGCUUGGGCAUCUAGCUUAUGGAGGGGGAUAACUACGGGAAACUGUAGCUAAUACCGCGUACCAUAGUAUGAGCCCAAGUGGGAUUAGCUAGUUGGUGAGGUAAAGGCUCACCAAGCCGACGAUCGCUAGCUGGUCUGAGAGGAUGACCAGCAAAACUGGGACUGAGACACGGCCCAGACUCCUACGGGAGGCAGCAGUGGGGAAUAUUGCGCAAUGGGGGAAAGCUGACGCAGCCAUGACGCGUGAAUGAAGAAGGCCUUAGGGUUGUAAAGUUCUUUGGGUAGCGAGGCGUUAACUACAGAAGAAGCACCGGCUAACUCCGUGCCAGCCGCCGCGGUAAUUC
rnacentral:rRNA from 1 species